UACGGGGGGGGUAAGCGUUGUUCGGAAUUACUGGGCGUAAAGGGCGCGUAGGCGGCCUUCUAAGUCGGACGUGAAAGCCCCAGGCUUAACCUGGGAACUGCGUCCGAUACUGGGAGGCUUGGAUUCGGGAGAGGGAUGUGGAAUUCCAGGUGUAGCGGUGAAAUGCGUAGAUAUCUGGAGGAACACCGGUGGCGAAGGCGGCAUCCUGGACCGAGAUCGACGCUGAGGCGCGAAAGCUAGGGGAGCAAACGGG
rnacentral:rRNA from 1 species